rnacentral:rRNA from 1 species
CGAUUGAACGCUGGCGGCAUGCUUUACACAUGCAAGUCGAACGGCAGCGCGGGGCAACCUGGCGGCGAGUGGCGAACGGGUGAGUAAUAUAUCGGAACGUACCCAAGAGUGGGGGAUAACGCAGCGAAAGUUACGCUAAUACCGCAUACGAUCUAAGGAUGAAAGCAGGGGACCGCAAGGCCUUGUGCUCCUGGAGCGGCCGAUAUCUGAUUAGCUAGUUGGUAGGUAAAGGCCUACCAAGGCUACGAUCAGUAGCUGGUCUGAGAGGACGACCAGCCAACACUGGAACUGAGACACGGUCCAGACUCCUAGGGAGGCAGGCAGUGGGAAUUUGGACAAGUGGGCGCUAAGCCUGACUCCAGCAAUGCCGCGUGAGUGAAGAGGCUUCGGUGUAAGUCU